GUGGGUAUAGCUCAGUCAUAGAGCACGUGCAUAGCAUGCAUGAGUUCCUGGGUUCAACCUCCAGUACCUCCA
rnacentral:tRNA from 1 species